UGAGGGUGCUUUAAGAGCGUAUGGUGGAUGCCUUGACACAAAAUAGCGAUGAAGGACGUAGCGUAGCUGCGAUAAGCUUCGGGGAGGUGUGUAGCAACCUUUGAUCCGGAGAUUUCCGAAUGGGGAAACCCCUUUGCGUAGACCGCAUUGACCUCGUCAUUUAUUGACGCGGAGCAGACCCACUGAAGCGAAACUUCCCAGUAAGUGGUGGAAAAUAGAAAAAUAUUUAUUACCUUAGUAGCGGCGAGCGAAACGGUAACAGCCCAAACUCAAAUUUAUUUGAGGGUAGUAAGAUAAAGACAUUUUAGAGAUAUGAAACAGGGUUUCUGUCCCGCAUUGCGGGACAGAUAUAGUGCCUUGUUUCGUGUUUCUAAGGGGUCUCGGAGUAAUCCGAGGAGGAGUUAAAAAUUUAUUUGCUAGUCGAAACUUCUGGAAAGAAGUCCCAAAGACGGUGAUAGGCCGGUAGGCGAAAGCAAAUAAACUCUUGUUUUUACCCGAUGUAAAAGUCGGGAAUUCCGACAAUGCUAUCGAUCGCAAGAUUGAUGGUAUUGUCGGAAAAUCUUGAGUAACUCGAGGCCAACAAACCUUGAGUGAAUCCGCCGGUACUAUCCGGCAAGGCUAAAUAUAUUUUGUGAUCGAUAGUGAACUAGUACCGUGAGGGAAAGGUGAAAAGUAGGCCGGAAGGCCGUUGAAAUAGUACCUGAAACCAUAUGCUUACAAGGACUUGAAGGCCGAAGUUCACCGCAAGGUGAAGUGGCUAACAGGGUGCCUAUUGAAGAAUGAACCAACGAGUUUACGGAUAUCGCAAGUCUAAGUCCUAAGGGACGCAGGCGUAGCGAAAGCGAGUGUUAAUAGCGCGCAAACCGUUUUAUUUUAUAAAACCAGCGUUAUUCGUAAGACCCGAAGCCAAGGCGAGCUUGCCCUGAGCAGGUUGAACCCCGAGUAAAAUCGGGGGGAGGACCGAACUGGUGGGUUGUGCAAAACCCUCGGAUGACUUGGGGUAAGAAGUGAAAAGCUAAUCGAGCUUGGUAAUUGCUGGUUCUCUCCGAAAUAUAUUUUGGUAUAGCGGGCAGCUAAAACGGUAUAGGGGUAGAGCUACUGGUUCGGGCCUACAGGUCGAAAGAUCGAGUCUCGAGUCAAACUCCGAAUACUAUACUGAAAAGUUGCCUAGUCAGACUGUGGGGGCAAAGCUCCAUGGUCGCGAGGGAAAAAGCCCAGAUCGCCGUCUAAGGUCCCUAAAUCUUCGCUAAGUGUUAAAGGUAGUCAUCAACCACAGACAGAUAGGAGGUUGGCUUAGAGGUAGCCAUCCUUUAAAGAGUGUGUAACAACUCACUAUUCGACGGUUGGUGGCGCCGAAAAUGUACCGGGGCUAAGCGAGGUACCGAAGCCGCGAAUUUGUUCGGAUUAGUCCGGACAAGUGGUAGGAGAGCAUUCGCAACUGCUGUGAAGGAGGAUCCGUGAGGACCUCUGGAGUGUUGCGAAGAGAGAAUGUUGGUAUGAGUAACCACAAAUCAAAUGAGAAAUUUGAUCCCCGAAAAUCCAAGGUUUCCGUGGCAAUGGCAAUCAUCCACGGGUUAGGCGAUCCUAAGGCAAUGGCGAGAGCCGCAGCUGAUGGGAAGCCGGUUAAUAUUCCGGCCCGCCUGGUGCAUUCGAUGGAGUGACGGAGAAUAUAAGGUUGAGCGCCUAAGUGGUUUGGCGUCGACGGUGUUAAGACUCGAUAUCCAGGGAAAUCCGGGUAUCUGCCUUUAAUGGCGAGUUUCGCGCAUUGGCUUAAGGUUAGGUUUUUACCUGACUAAUUCAACUGAAGAGACUUCCAAGAAAAACUUCUAAGGUUCGUGCAUUAGGCCUCGUACCGUAAACCGACACAGGUGGGUGAGUCGAGAAGACUCAGGGGAACGAGUGAUUCUUCGUUAAGGAACUCGGCAAAAAAGCGGCCGUAAGUUCGCAAUAAGGCCUGCCCUUCGCAAGAGGGGCCGCAGCUAAAGUAUGUCUGGCGACUGUUUACCAAAAACACAGCUCCCUGCUAACUCGCAAGAGGAUGUAUAGGGGGUGACGCCUGACCGAUGCGAGAAGGUUAACGGUGGGGGUAUGUAGUUUACUCUGUAUACUCACUGCCCGAAGCCCUCGUCAAUGUCAGCGAUAACUAUAAUCGUUCUAAGGUAGCGCAAUUCCUUUUCGGGUAAGUUCCGAAGCGCACGAAUGGCGUAACGACUGGACAACUGUCUCAACGAAGAGCUCGGUGAAAAUGCGAUUCCCGUGAAGACGCGGGAUACCUGCAGCAAGACGAAAAGACCCCGGAAGCUUUACUGUAGUUUGAUAUUGGCUUUAAGAUUUUGAUGCGUAGCGUAGUGGUGAGGGGUUGAAGUGGCGCUUUUGGGUGCCAUGGACCCGCCAAUGAAACAGCCAUCUUUAAAAUCUUAAAAUCUAACCUCGACGGCAAAAACGUCGCGGGACAGUGUCUGAUGGGCAGUUUUAAUGGGGCGUUAUCCUCCUAAAAAGUAACGGAGGAGUUUAUUAAGGUUGGCUUAGCCCGGAUGGAAAUCGGGCCGGACGUGUAAACGCACAAGCCAGCUUAACGGCAAGACUUACAAGUCGCGCCGGUGCGAAAGCAGAAGUUAGUGACCCGACCACUCUUUAGAGAAAGGUGGGAGACAACGGCUAAAAGUUACUCCGGGGAUAACAGGCUAGUGAGAUCCGAGAGUUCCUAUCGACGAUCUCGCUCGGCACCUCGAUGUCGGCUCGCCCUAGCGCGGAGGCGGAGAAGUUUCCAAGCGUAUGGCUGUUCGCCAUUUAAAAGGGCACGUGAGCUGGGUUCAAACCGUCGUGAGACAGGUUGGUCUCUAUCUGUUGCAGGCGUAAACACUUGAGGGUAGUCGUCCCUAGUACGAGAGGACCGGGAUGAACAUACCUCUGGUCUACCAGCUUUGGUACCAACUGAAGCGCUGGGUAGCUAUGUAUGGAAAGGAUAAGCGCUGAAAGCAUCUAAGCACGAAGCCUCACCCAAGAUUAAGUGUUGUUCGUAAGAACGCGGUCCGUAGAAGACUACUACGUUGAUAGGCUCUAAGUGUAAGGCCCGCAAGGGUUUCAGCUGAGGAGUACUAAUAAACCGUUGCACCCUCAAA
rnacentral:rRNA from 1 species